rnacentral:lncRNA from 1 species
AUGGUUCCAUUUUUAUUUGUGAUUCUUUCACAUCUUGUAGGUAUUUCUUUUUAUGUUUCAAUGGAAUUGUUGGCAAUUGACAUUGACUUCAUUCUCCCAAGGAGAUAGAAAAGGCAUGGCUUUGUUCUAGCAAGGAGAUAAAUUUUUUUGAAGACUAUUGCUUCAGCAAUGGCUAUAUUAACGACAUUAUUUCGCAUCCCUACAAGUUCGACGGAGUAGACAUAGCUUUGCACUAUGUGUCUUUUCUAAGGCUGUGAUAUUUUAUGAUUCUCAUUUGUGGCAAUUAGUGGUAAAAUAAAUAGAGACACACUCUGCCUCCUUAUGAAGGUUCACGGGGCUUUUUUUGUUCAGAUUUAUAAGGCCAGAGAAUAUUCCUCUUGAAUAUGGAGGAUUGAUUCAACCCACAGAUUUUAAGAAUGGUCCCCCUCAACCAUCUUUUAAGUUAUAACUGUUGAAGGAGGAUAAAAAGCUAACAUACAAAUAGAAGGAAUUGAGGUUACAAGUACAGGUUGGUGGAAGUUAUACCUUUUCAGCUUAGGUGUUAUUCUGAAGCAUAUGUCAAGAGCUUGAGAUAAUGAUAAUGACAAUGAAGGAGGGGACACAAUAACACAAAUUUGGAGUUUGGAAAGUUUUAGAUUUAUUAUCGUAUUAAUAUUAUUAUUAGGUAAUGGUUAGUUGCAAACUGCGUGUAUUUUUUUUCGAGAACUUUUCUCAUGACUGUUAACUAACAUUAAUAU